GCCGACGUGGUGGAAUUGGUAGACACACUAGCUUGAGGGGCUAGCGCCGCAAGGCGUGUCGGUUCGAGUCCGACCGUCGGCACCA
rnacentral:tRNA from 1 species